UAGGGGCCGUUCUCACGCAACUCCGGCCAUUGGCCAUGGAGGCGGAGAUGGCGGCCUGAGCUUAAGGGCAGAGAGAGGCGUGGGGAGGAGAGCAUUCGGGCUCUCAGUUUUCCUUUUUUGUUUUUUUAUUUUCUUUUUCUUUGUUUGUUUAAAAAAUGAAUGGAGGCUAUCAGAUUAAGGUAUUUAUUGGGUCUUAUGUGUUGUCUGAAACGACGCCGUUUGGAGUCUGAUCAAUGGCUCCAAAACGGCGCCGUAUUGAGCGCGACCCGCUCGUUGACCCGAUGGAUCCCAAGGAUCCGCGUGUUUUGGACUUAGGGUCUAUUUACCCUUUCAGUCCUUCUGCUUCUGGGCUUCCCUCCAAUCUGGUCCUUGUUUUAGUUUUUUUUCUUUUUUACUUUUCUCCCCUGGAAUUUUGCAUUUUUUUUAUUUAGUCCCGUUUUUUAUUGUUUUUUUUAAAGUAAUUAGUUUUAUUACCAUUAUUAUUAUUAUUAUUAUCAUUAUUGCUUUUAUUUUUAUUAUUUGCCUUUAUUGUUUACCCAUUUAUACUGUUUUUUGAUUAUGAUAUAUGUGUACAUACCUAUAUACAUACUUACACUUUAAUACAUUCUAUAAUUUAUACAUAUACA
rnacentral:lncRNA from 1 species